rnacentral:tRNA from 1 species
CGUGGGAUGGCCGAGUACAAGGCGGUGAGCUGUAAACUCAUGAACAAGGUGUAGACCUUUCUUAUGA